AUUGAACGCUGGCGGCAUGCCUUACACAUGCAAGUCGAACGGCAGCACGGGAGCAAUCCUGGUGGCGAGUGGCGAACGGGUGAGUAAUAUAUCGGAACGUGCCCAGUCGUGGGGAUAACGUAGCGAAAGCUACGCUAAUACCGCAUACUAUCUAUGGAUGAAAGCGGGGGAUCGCAAGACCUCGCGCGAUUGGAGCGGCCGAUAUCAGAUUAGGUAGUUGGUGAGGUAAAGGCUCACCAAGCCGACGAUCUGUAGCUGGUCUGAGAGGACGACCAGCCACACUGGGACUGAGACACGGCCCAGACUCCUACGGGAGGCAGCAGUGGGGAAUUUUGGGACAAUGGGCGCAAGCCUGAUCCAGCAAUGCCGCGUGCAGGAUGAAGGCCUUCGGGUUGUUAAACGUG
rnacentral:rRNA from 1 species